rnacentral:pre_miRNA from 1 species
CAACUACUCCCUUUGUCCCAUAUUUCUUGUCUUAGAUUUGUCUAGAUACGGAUGUAUCUAAUACUAAAAUGUGACUUGAUACAUCCGUAUCUAGACAAAUCCAAGACAAGAAUUUUGGGACGGAGGGAGUACUUU